CAAUAGCGUAUAUUAAAGUUGUUGCAGUUAAAAAGCUCGUAGUUGAAUUUCUGGCGGGCGCGCCGGUCUUCCAAGUGUUGUACUGGGCGCAGUCCGCCAUCCUUGUGGAGAGGGCUCGCAUUGAGUUGCGUGUCGGAUCUGCAUCAUUUACUGUGAAAAAAUUAGAGUGUUUAAAGCAGGCUGUCGCUUGAAUACAUUAGCAUGGAAUAAUGAGAUAGGACUUCGGUCUAUUUUGUUGGUUGCGAACCGAGGUAAUGAUUAAUAGGGAUAGUUGGGGGUAUUCAUAUUUAAUUGUCAGAGGUGAAAUUCUUGGAUUUAUGAAAGAUGAACAACUGCGAAAGCAUUUACCAAGGAUGUUUNCAUUAA
rnacentral:rRNA from 1 species